AGGAUGAUUUUGCAAUCGCUCGCUGGUUUGCCGGCGUUUAUCGUCUAUUUUUGCACGGGUCUUGUCGCCGUUACUCUUUUUCUUUUCGUCUACACCCGCAUCACGCCCCAUGACGAGUUCAAGCUNNNNGAGAAUGUUCCGGGAGCGGCGAUCUCACUCGGGUUCAGCUUGCUCGGCUUCGUGCUGCCGGUCAUCAGCGCCAUCACCCAUGCAUCCAAUGUCUUCGACUGCAUGA
rnacentral:misc_RNA from 1 species